GUUUGAUCCUCGGUCAGGACGAACCGUGGCGGCGCGCCUAAUGCAUGCAAGUCGAGCGACGCAUUCCCCUCCGGCAACGGCGGGGUCUGACGGAGCGGCGAACGGGUGCGUAACACGUGACCAAUCCUGCCCGAAGACCGGGAUCAGCCGGGGAAACCCGGAUUAAUACCGGAUGGCCUCAUCGGACCUCAUGGCCCGGUGAGUAAAGGCUCCGGCGCUUCGGGAUGAGGUCGCGUCCCAUCAGCUUGUUGGUGAGGUAACGGCUCACCAAGGCUACGACGGGUAGCUGGUCUGAGAGGACGAUCAGCCACACUGGAACUGAGACACGGUCCAGACUCCUAUGGGAGGCAGCAGCAGGGAAUCUUGCGCAAUGGGCGAAAGCCUGACGCAGCGACGCCGCGUGGGGGAUGAAGGCCUUCGGGUUGUAAACCCCUUUCACGAGGGAAGAAGAUGACGGUACCUCGAGAAGAAGCCCCGGCCACUACGUGCAGCAGCCGCGGUAUACGUAGGGGGCGAGCGUUGUCGGAUUAUUGGGCUAAAGGGUCGUAGGCGGCUGACAGUCGACGUGAAAACCAGGCUCACCCUGGGAGCGGUCGUACUGUCUGGUAGGGUCGUAGAGGGAAUGGAUUNCCGUUAGCGUGAAUGCGCAGAUUCGGAGGACACAGUGCGAGGGCGUCCCUGGCGCACGACGUGAGAGCGA
rnacentral:rRNA from 1 species